CUUAGUAUGUUGCUCUCCAGGAAAAAAAUGUAUUCAGCUGACUUGAAGCUAAUCAGCAGUGUUUUGAAGGACUUCCCCAGCCUAAGGUUUUGCUGUCUGGCAGAAACCAGUCCAUCCCUCAGCCUCUGCCAGUGCCAUCUCUGUGGGAUCUCCACGGUGGCACUGCUUUUUCCUGUGAUGGUUUAGGCUCUACAGGUGCAUUUGGCAAGCACAUUCCAGAAGGUCUUCCAGGAUAUUCAGCCCAAGGGUACAACUACAGUAGUAGCUGGUUAAUGAGAUCUCAUUAAAGAAUUUUUG